rnacentral:rRNA from 1 species
CACGGGGAGGUAGUGACGAAAAAUAACGAUACGGGACUCAUCCGAGGCCCCGUAAUCGGAAUGAGUACACUUUAAAACUUUUCCCGAGGAUCAAUUGGAGGGUAAGUCUGGUGCCAGCAGCCGCGGUAAUUCCAGCUCCAAUAGCGUAUAUUAAAGUUGUUGCGGUUAAAAAGCUCGUAGUCGAAUCUGUGUCCCGCGCCGCUGGUUCAUCGCUCGCGGUGUUUAACUGGCGUGUCUCGCGGGACGUCCUGCCGGUGGGCGCUCGUAUCGCUUCGGUGGUGCGUGGCCCAACUCGUAGCCGUCUCGCGCGGUUGCGAAUCCCAUCGCGGUGCUCUUCAUUGAGUGUCGAGGUGGGCCGGCACGUUUACUUUGAACAAAUUAGAGUGCUUAAAGCAGGCCAAUUUUGCCUGAAUAUUGUGUGCAUGGAAUAAUGAAAUAGGACCUCGGUUCUAUUUUGUUGGUUUUCGGAACCCCGAGGUAAUGAUUAAUAGGAACGGAUGGGGGCAUUCGUAUUGCGACGUUAGAGGUGAAAUUCUUGGAUCGUCGCAAGACGGACAKAAGCGAAAGCAUUUGCCAAAAACGCUUUCAUUGAUCAAGAACGAAAGUUAGAGGUUCGAAGGCGAUCAGAUACCGCCCUAGUUCUAACCAUAAACGAUGCCAGCUAGCGAUCCGCCGACGUUCCUCCGAUGACUCGGCGGGCAGCUUCCGGGAAACCAAAGCUUUUGGGUUCCGGGGGAAGUAUGGUUGCAAAGCUGAAACUUAAAGGAAUUGACGGAAGGGCACCACCAGGAGUGGAGCCUGCGGCUUAAUUUGACUCAACACGGGACACCUCACCAGGCCC